GACGGGGCCCGCACAAGCGGUGGAGCAUGUGGUUAAUUCGAUGAUACGCGAGGAACCUUACCUGGGCUAGAACGCCGUUGGAAAGGCCCUGAAAGGGGUCCGCCCGCGAGGGCCGGCGGCGAGGUGCUGCAUGGUUGUCGUCAGCUCGUGCCGUGAGGUGUCGGGUUAAGUCCCAUAACGAGCGCAACCCCUACUGCUAGUUGCCAGCGCGUCAAGGCGGGGACUCUAGCGGAACUGCCGGCGUAAGCCGUGAGGAAGGUGGGGAUGACGUCAAAUCAGCACGGCCCUUACGUCCAGGGCUACACACGUGUUACAAUGGCCGGUACAGAGGGCAGCCACCCCGCGAGGGGGCGCGAAUCCUCAAAGCCGGUCCCAGUUCGGAUCGGGGUCUGCAACCCGACCCCGUGAAGCUGGAUUCGCUAGUAAUCGCGCAUCAGCCACGGCGCGGUGAAUACGUUCCCGGGCCUU
rnacentral:rRNA from 1 species